rnacentral:rRNA from 1 species
AGCGAACGCUGGCGGCAGGCCUAACACAUGCAAGUCGAACGAAGUCUUCGGACUUAGUGGCGGACGGGUGAGUAACACGUGGGAACGUGCCUUUCGGUUCGGAAUAACUCAGGGCAACUUGUGCUAAUACCGAAUGUGCCCUUCGGGGGCAAGAUUAUCGCCUUUAGAGCGGCCCGCGUCUGAUUAGCUAGUUGGUGAGGUAAAGGCUCACCAAGGCUACGAUCAGUAGUUGGUCUGAGAGGAUGACCAGCCACAUUGGGACUGAGACACGGCCCAAACUCCUACGGGAGGCAGCAGUGGGGAAUCUUGCGCAAUGGGCGAAAGCCUGACGCAGCCAUGCCGCGUGGAUGAUGAAGGUCUUAGGAUUGUAAAAUCCUCUCACCGGUGAAGAUAAUGACUGUAGCCGGAGAAGAAGCCCCGGCUAACUUCGUGCCAGCCGCCGCGGUAAAAC